AUGCACUCAAAACCAAGUUACAUGUAAUAGUAAACAAAUUCAAAAAUAUUUUGCUUGUUACGUUGUGUUGUGAAGGAAAGUAGGACAAUUCUAGUGAAAAUCAGUGCCGUUUUUUUAACAGUUUACAUAACAAUCUGCUGCAGCAAGUCAGAAAAAAGUAACUUAGAUGCAUUACUGAGAUAUAUUCUGUUUUAUUUAUGUUUUACACAGCAUCCUGACUUUGGAAUCAGGAAUCAGCAGAGAGGGAACAAAGGUCAGGGCCAUAAUAGCUUUUUUAAUGUCCGCACUUAUCUGUUUACAUAAAACGUGUGACU